rnacentral:rRNA from 1 species
GGCGGCGUGCUUAACACAUGCAAGUCGAACGGUGAAGCCAGCUUGCUGGGUGGAUCAGUGGCGAACGGGUGAGUAACACGUGAGCAACCUGCCCUUCACUUCGGGAUAAGCCUUGGAAACGGGGUCUAAUACCGGAUAUGAGCCUCAUCGCAUGGUGGGUGUUGGAAAGUUUUUCGGUCAGGGAUGGGCUCGCGGCCUAUCAGCUUGUUGGUGGGGUAACGGCCUACCAAGGCGUCGACGGGUAGCCGGCCUGAGAGGGCGACCGGCCACACUGGGACUGAGACACGGCCCAGACUCCUACGGGAGGCAGCAGUGGGGAAUAUUGCACAAUGGCGAAAGCCUGAUGCAGCGACGCCGCGUGAGGGAUGACGGCUUCGGGUUGUAAACCUCUUUCAGCAGGGAAGAAGCGCAAGUGACGGUACCUGCAGAAGAAGCGCCGGCUAACUACGUGCCAGCAGCCGCGGUAAUACGUAGGGGCCAAGCGUUGUCCGGAAUUAUUGGGCGUAAAGAGCUCGUAGGCGGUCUGUCGCGUCUGGUGUGAAACCCAUGGCUCAACUGUGGGCUUGCAUCGGGUACGGGCAGACUAGAGUGCUGUAGGGGAGACUGGAAUUCCUGGUGUAGCGGUGGAAUGCGCAGAUAUCAGGAGGAACACCGAUGGCGAAGGCAGGUCUCUGGGCAGUUACUGACGCUGAGGAGCGAAAGCAUGGGGAGCGAACAGGAUUAGAUACCCUGGUAGUCCAUGCCGUAAACGUUGGGCACUAGGUGUGGGGCAGUUCCACUGGUUCUGUGCCGUAGCUAACGCAUUAAGUGCCCGCCUGGGGAGUACGGCCGC